rnacentral:tRNA from 1 species
ACCUGGGUGGCUCAGUCGGUUGAGCUUCUGACUCUUGAUCUGAGGUCAUGAUCUCACGGUUUGUGGGAUCGAGCCCCACAUCGGGCU